rnacentral:rRNA from 1 species
GAUGAACGCUGGCGGCGUGCUUAACACAUGCAAGUCGAACGAUGAAGCCCAGCUUGCUGGGUGGAUUAGUGGCGAACGGGUGAGUAACACGUGAGUAACCUGCCCUUAACUCUGGGAUAAGCCUGGGAAACUGGGUCUAAUACCGGAUAGGAGCGCCUACCGCAUGGUGGGUGAUGGAAAGAUUUAUCGGUUUUGGAUGGACUCGCGGCCUAUCAGCUUGUUGGUGAGGUAAUGGCUCACCAAGGCGACGACGGGUAGCCGGCCUGAGAGGGUGACCGGCCACACUGGGACUGAGACACGGCCCAGACUCCUACGGGAGGCAGCAGUGGGGAAUAUUGCACAAUGGGCGAAAGCCUGAUGCAGCGACGCCGCGUGAGGGAUGACGGCCUUCGGGUUGUAAACCUCUUUCAGUAGGGAAGAAGCGAAAGUGACGGUACCUGCAGAAGAAGCACCGGCUAACUACGUG